rnacentral:rRNA from 1 species
GACGUAGGGCGCGAGCGUUGUCCGGAUUUAUUGGGCGUAAAGAGCUCGUAGGCGGCUUGUCGCGUCGUCCGUGAAAACCUGCAGCUCAACUGUGGGCUUGCGGUCGAUACGGGCAUCACUGGAGUUCGGCAGGGGAGACUGGAAUUCCUGGUGUAGCGGUGAAAUGCGCAGAUAUCAGGAGGAACACCGGUGGCGAAGGCGGGUCUCUGGGCCGAUACUGACGCUGAGGAGCGAAAGCGUGGGGAGCGAACAGG